rnacentral:misc_RNA from 1 species
GAUGAAGAACGCAGCAAAAUGCGAUAAGUAAUGUGAAUUGCAGAAUUCAGUGAAUUAUCGAAUCUUUGAACGCACAUUGCGCCCCCUGGUAUUCCGGGGGGCAUGCCUGUUCGAGCGUCAUUUCACCACUCAAGCCUCGCUUGGUAUUGGGCAACGCGGUCCGCCGCGUGCCUCAAAUCGACCGGCUGGGUCUUCUGUCCCCUAAGCGUUGUGGAAACUAUUCGCUAAAGGGUGUUCGGGAGGCUACGCCGUAAAACAACCCCAUUUCUAAGGUUGACCUCGGAUCAGGUAGGGAUACCCGCUGAACUUAAGCAUAUCAAUAAGCGGAGGA